GAGCCAUUACUGGUCUGUACUGGGAGCUGUUACUGGUCUGUACUGGGAGUCAUUACUGGUCUAAACUGGGAGCUGUUACUGGUUUGCACUGGGAGAAGUUACUGGUUUAUACUGGGAGCCAUUAUUGGUUUGUAAUAGGAGCUGUUACUGGUUUGUACUGGGAGCUCUUACUGGUCCGUACUGGGCGCCAUGACUGGUCUAUACUGGGAGCUGUUACUGGUCUGUACUGGGAGUUGUGACUGGUGUGUACUGGGAGCGUUACUGGUGUGUACUGGGAGCGUUACUGGUGUGUACUGGGAGCGUUACUGGUGUGUACUGGAGUGUUACUGGUCUGUACUGGAGCGUUACUGGUGUCAAUAAAGGUGUCAAUGGA